rnacentral:lncRNA from 1 species
UGUGUGGGACACUUAGGAAGAAUGAAGUAGCAUCCUGUAAGGGGACCUUCCACCCAGUAUGGUUAUAAGAAUCUAUCCUCUCCAUUUUUUUAAGGAUUCAUUGUGACACAUAAUAAAUACUUAGAAAGCAUCCAAAUAAUUUAAAUAUGUGUAAAGCAAAAAGUGAAAGUCUCUUCUGAUUUGUUUACCCAACUCUGACAAUUUUUACUAAGUGUAUAUCCACUGAGACUUUUCUUAUGCUUAUAUACAAAUACGUAUUCGUAAAGAUGUUACAAAAUGACAUCACGGUAUAUGUAUUUUCCUGCUUCAUUUCUAUUACAAUGUUAUGGUCCUCUUCCUCUAUCAGUGCAUUUAAAUCCACCUCAUUUUUUUUAAACAGAUGCAGAGUAUUCUAUGAUAUAAAUACAUCACAAUUAAUAUAACCAUUGCCUUAUUCAUGGAUAUUUAUAGUGUUUUUAUUUUUCCCCUUAUUGGUAGGAACUUCCGGUUCCUAUCAAUAUAGUAAUCAUCAUGAGCUUGUAAAUUCCCUUCUCCCAAAUCAACACUGAAGAAAUUGUAGAGGGAAACUUGGACUCAACUUAAAAAUGUGAGACAAUCUAGGGGGGAUGAGGGCUGCUUUGAAUAAUGUGGAGGAGACUGCGGUCGUGUGAGGUAAAAGGCAGCUCUUGUAAGUGUAGGAGUCUGUGUUACUGAGAAGUAGUUGAUAGUUUCUUUCAUCUUUUCCCCACUGUUGCCUUGUAACAGUGACUGUUUGCCCCUUUUCUGCAGACACCUGAGCAAUGGUCUGGAUUCCUGCAGUAUCCAGAGAGCAGCUCAGAAACCUUGAGAGGUGAAUGGCUGGAUCAACUGGUGGACGCUGAUUAACCUUUGACAUUGACUCCUCCAUUUCUCCCUUUUAAGGCCACAGGGCAGAUGAAUUUUCAUCUCUUGAGACUUCCUCCUCCAUAUGCUGUUUCUCCCCAGAGGCUUAAAAAUGAAGGCCUGACCUAAAGAGUUGUUUGGUGAGACGACAGAAAAUAUGACACGAUGGAGAGACCAGUCUCCUCUUCGAACUUCUACAUAUGUCCACAGUUCACACAGCUCUGGGAGCGGGAAGAGUCCAUCUGGAUGGAGAGUCAUGGAGA